rnacentral:lncRNA from 1 species
CAAAGUGGCAAGUUUGGAAGCGAGGAAUUUUGAGGGGCAGGUUUCUGGAGGCAAUGAGGUUACGCCACGUCGUUCUGUUAGGGAAACUAGGGGGCGGCGUAGGGCUGAAAUAAGAGCUAUGACUAUGGAUCUAAUGAAGCGUUUUGAUGCACUUGAUCCUGAGCAGGGGCGGAAUCCGUAUGGGAUGGAGAUGGAGCAGGACGAGGAAAUGACGCCGGUCGGUGAUGGUAGGCGCCAAAGGGUGACCGCAGCACCUGACGCUCAGGACCCAGGAGAAGGAACGUCCCACGUACAGGACCCUCUGGACGAGCCUCCUUGCAGUGGAAGAGGGGAGGUUGAGGCUUCAGGUGACCCAUGGAGGAAUUCGGGUGAGUACGGAGCUUAUCACAAUGCAAGUAGUCAGGCGGCACAGUGGCCUUGGAUGGGAGGAUUACAACAGUUGGGAGUACCACCUAACGCUUGUGCAACACCGGGGGCGACAUGGCCAGGCAGUUUUUGGCCCCCUAUGGGGCCACAGUGGUUUGGAUGGGGUAUGCCGAUGCAGCCCCCUGUGCACAACACACCGGCUGACGAAGGUAAGAGAGGGGUUAUGCGACAACACCCAUCAGUGCCAAACACAGGGUAUAACACGGUACCAAUGGCUUCUAUGCCUUAUUCGGAUUACAGUACGCCACUGGGCGACCAUUUGACGCCCGCAGUCAAGGAGCGGAUUUGGAGAGGCGAUUUCAUUGAUUUCUAUGAUCUCCUUAACCGGGAAUUUGAAGUCAAGGAAAUCGAUAAGGAUGACGAGAAGUUGAAGGAAAAACAUAGGCGUAAACGGCCAGAUAGGAAUUGGAACAACUGGGUCACGGGUUUCACCAUAUACGCAGGUGUAUUGGUGAAAAUGCAGCCGUGGAAGGCUUCGGCAUUGUUUCAGUACUUCGAUAUUAUGCGUAGAGCGAAGGCUGAGUUUGAGGGACAGGCUUGGGCGCGUUAUGAUGAGGCGUUCAGAAUGCGAAGUGCGAUUAGGCCAGAGAUGCGUUGGGAUGAGACGCACCCAGGUCUGUGGCUACAGCAUAUGUCGCCAGCAAAAACAAACCUGGGUGAUAGAUUUGACUGUGGGCACUUGAAUAUAAGUGGGGGCGGGGCGGGG